rnacentral:ncRNA from 1 species
AUCUUCGGGGUUGGGUGAAAUUCCCUACCGGCGGUAAAGUCCGCGACCUAUCAUUUUAUUUAUGUAUAAUAUGAUGGCUGAACUGGUGAGUAUAAGCAAUUCCAGUACCGACAGUAAAGUCUGGAUGAGAGAAGGUA